rnacentral:rRNA from 1 species
AACGCGAAGAACCUUACCUGGGUUAAAUCCGCCCGAACCUGGCAGAGAUGUCGGGGUGCUCUUCGGAGAACGGGCGAGAAGGUGCUGCAUGGCUGUCGUCAGCUCGUGUCGUGAGAUGUUGGGUUAAGUCCCGCAACGAGCGCAACCCUUGUCGUUAGUUGCUAACAGGUCAAGCUGAGCACUCUAGCGAGACUGCCGACGUUAAGUCGGAGGAAGGUGGGGAUGACGUCAAGUCCUCAUGGCCCUUAUGCCCAGGGCUACACACGUGCUACAAUGGCCGGUACAAAGGGUUGCAAACUCGCAAGAGCAAGCUAAUCCCAAAAAACCGGUCUCAGUUCGGAUUGGAGUCUGCAACUCGACUCCAUGAAGUUGGAAUCGCUAGUAAUCGCGGAUCAGCACGCCGCGGUGAAUACGUUCCCGGGCCUUGUACACACCGGUAUCUC